AUACUUACCAGGCAGGGACAAUACCAUGAUCAAAGAGGUGGUUUGCCCAGAGCAAGGCUUAGCCAUUGUACGUGGGCUGGGCUGACCUUUGCGAAAUCCAUAAAUGUGGGACUCUUGACAGCAUAAUUUCUAAUAGUGGGGGACUGUGUUUGCACUAAA